rnacentral:rRNA from 1 species
CGUGGUGAGUAACGCGUGAGGAACCUGCCUUCCAGAGGGGGACAACAGUUGGAAACGACUGCUAAUACCGCAUGACAUAUCGAAACCGCAUGGUUUUGAUAUCAAAGAUUUAUCGCUGGAAGAUGGCCUCGCGUCUGAUUAGCUAGUAGGCGGGGUAACGGCCCACCUAGGCGACGAUCAGUAGCCGGACUGAGAGGUUGACCGGCCACAUUGGGACUGAGAUACGGCCCAGACUCCUACGGGAGGCAGCAG